UACGUAGGGUGCAAGCGUUGUCCGGAAUUAUUGGGCGUAAAGAGCUUGUAGGCGGUUUGUCGCGUCUGCUGUGAAAAUCAGGGCUCAACCCUGGACCUGCAUUCGAUACGGGCAGACUAGAGUUCGGUAGGGGAGACUGGAAUUCCUGGUGUAGCGGUGAAAUGCGCAGAUAUCAGGAGGAACACCGGUGGCGAAGGCGGGUCUCUGGGCCGAAACUGACGCUGAGGAGCGAAAGCGUGGGGAGCAAACAGG
rnacentral:rRNA from 1 species